rnacentral:lncRNA from 1 species
GUUCCCAGGGUGGAUCUGUUUGGAAUCUGGUUUCCUGGAACCAGUCCCAGGGGCCUCUUUCAGGGCCCAGGACUCUCCCAGGCAGGCGCUUGCUUCUCCGUCUCCAGCCACCUAAUACCUUCCUUGAACCCGCCUGGGCCACUAGGCCCAACUCUGGGAAGAUUUUAUAGGAAAGGCUGCCAUCUUGUGGCCAAACUGCAAGCCCACCAUUCACCAGGAGAAAGCAAAGGCGGGGAACCUGGGGCUUUGGGAACAGGCGAAGACAGCAGGGAAGAGACACCAGCUGGUGCAGCUUUGCUCUAGGAGGGCUGCCUCACAGGCAGAGUGCCACCUCCCUGUCGGAGGGAGGGUUCAGGCUGCCUGCCUGCCUCUGGAUGGGAGGUGGGGCUUGGGUGCAGGUGUGGUGGAUCAGAACUCUCCUGCAAAAUCCCAACGUGGGCCCAUCAGAGGAUCCCUGAAGGUAAGCCUGGGUUAGACUUCUCCUUAAACCCUUCUCCAGGGGAGGGUGUCCUUUCACCUGGGUGGGGCUGGGGAGGAGCCAUGUUGGUGCAUAUGAGGCUUUCCCUGGAGAGAGGCCCCCAGGGCUGCUGGGGCUGGAUCCUGCCCUCAGUGUUCCACCCUGUAUAGACACUGUCCCUGACUCUGAGGGAGUUAUAGAACCUCGUCCUCACUUCCUAAAUCUAAUCCUGUGUGACGAGCUCUUCCUUUGUCUUUGCGGCUCCACCUCAGUUCAGAUCCUCAUCUGGGGUGCUAGGUUGGGGCUGUUGCAGUCUCCCAGCCUCAGUUCUUUUAGCAACUUUGCUAAUCAAAGGAUUUCCUAAUCAUAUUCUCCUCAGUUACAAGAACACCACUGGGCUCCUGGUGGCCUGCAGGAGAAUGUCCAGCUUCUUGGCCUGGCUUUCAUUUCUGCCUCAUCCUCUCCGACAGGCUCAUGUCAUGCUGUGUGCCUCCUGUUCAGCUCCAACCCAGGGCUUCUCAGUCCUGGCUGCACAUUCAAAUCACCUGGGAGCUUUGAAACCUACCCACGCCAGACCAUGCUCUCAGAGAGUCUGAUUUCAUUGGCCUGGGACCUGGAGGUUGUGGGUGUGUUUAGAAAUCUCCCCCAGCUUCUGACAGUGCCAGGGACAAGAUUGUGCUUGGUGACGAAUGACUGAAUGAGUCGCCUGCUCUCCUAGCCAAUCUUCACGUUGCUGAGACCCUCCAGCCCUCUACAUGACACCCUUUCUGAAAAGCCCUUGAGGUUAUGAGAUGUGGUCUCAUACAGGUAGAACUUUUCACAUUCUCUGGGCCUGGGAGAAGGGAGGGCUGCCUCCAUCCUCCCCAACCCCUGCAUAAAAAUCUCUCCCCCAUGACAUAAUGGGUGGUCAUGCCUCAGUUUCCACUUAGAAAACCUGUGCUUGGAGCAAAGAUUUAAAAAUAAUAAAAACUAACAUUUAUUGAGUCCCGUGUGUCAAUGACACAUGCAAUAUCUUAAUCAUCAUAGCACCCUUGUUCUUAUCAGUCCUAUUUCCAGGGGAGGAACUGAGGCUCAUAGACGAUGAGUUACGUGGCAGAGGCUGCUUGGGCUCGCCAGUAUCCAGUCUCCUCCUCUUCCUAGAGUUAUAGUCAGACUACAUUUUCUGGUCUCUUGCGGU